CUUUUUAUCUGGCAGGGGAGAUACCAUGAAGAUAGUUUUCCCAAGGCAAGGCUUAGCCAUUGUUCUCUGGAUAUGCUUACCCCUGGGAUUUCCCCAAUGUGGGAAACUCAAUUGCAUAAUUUGUGGUAGUUAGUGACUACAUUCACACUCU
rnacentral:snRNA from 1 species